AGAGUUUGAUCCUGGCUCAGGAUGAACGCUGGCGGCGUGCUUAACACAUGCAAGUCGAACGAAGCACUUUACCUGAUUUCCUUCGGGGAUGAUUGUUCUGUGACUGAGUGGCGGACGGGUGAGUAACGCGUGGAUAACCUGCCUCACACAGGGGGAUAACAGUUGGAAACGACUGCUAAUACCGCAUAAGCGCACAGCACCGCAUGGUGCAGUGUGAAAAACUCCGGUGGUGUGAGAUGGAUCCGCGUCUGAUUAGCUAGUUGGCGGGGUAACGGCCCACCAAGGCGACGAUCAGUAGCCGGCCUGAGAGGGCGACCGGCCACAUUGGGACUGAGACACGGCCCAGACUCCUACGGGAGGCAGCAGUGGGGAAUAUUGCACAAUGGGGGAAACCCUGAUGCAGCGACGCCGCGUGAGCGAUGAAGUAUUUCGGUAUGUAAAGUUCUAUCAGCAGGGAAGAUAAUGACGGUACCUGACUAAGAAGCUCCGGCUAAAUACGUGCCAGCAGCCGCGGU
rnacentral:rRNA from 1 species